GACGAACGCUGGCGGCGUGCUUAACACAUGCAAGUCGAACGAUGAAGCCGGAGCUUGCUCCGGUGGAUUAGUGGCGAACGGGUGAGUAACACGUGAGUAACCUGCCCUUGACUCUGGGAUAACUGCGGGAAACUGUAGCUAGUACCGGAUACGACCCUCGGCGGCAUCGCCAGGGGGUGGAAAGAAUUUCGGUCAAGGAUGGACUCGCGGCCUAUCAGCUAGUUGGUGAGGUAACGGCUCACCAAGGCGACGACGGGUAGCCGGCCUGAGAGGGUGACCGGCCACACUGGGACUGAGACACGGCCCAGACUCCUACGGGAGGCAGCAGAGGGGAAUAUUGCACAAUGGGCGCAAGCCUGAUGCAGCAACGCCGCGUGAGGGAUGACGGCCUUCGGGUUGUAAACCUCUUUUAGUAGGGAAGAAGCGAAAGUGACGGUACCUGCAGAAAAAGCACCGGCUAACUACGUGCCAGCCGCCGCCGUAA
rnacentral:rRNA from 1 species